GAUGAACGCUGGCGGCGUGCCUAAACAUGCAAGUCGAGCGAAUGGAUUAAGAGCUUGCUCUUAUGAAGUUAGCGGCGGACGGGUGAGUAACACGUGGGUAACCUGCCCAUAAGACUGGGAUAACUCCGGGAAACCGGGGCUAAUACCGGAUAACAUUUUGAACCGCAUGGUUCGAAAUUGAAAGGCGGCUUCGGCUGUCACUUAUGGAUGGACCCGCGUCGCAUUAGCUAGUUGGUGAGGUAACGGCUCACCAAGGCAACGAUGCGUAGCCGACCUGGGAGGGUGAUCGGCCACACUGGGGCUGAGACACGGCCCAGACUCCUACGGGAGGCAGCAGUAGGGAAUCUUCCGCAAUGGACGAAAGUCUGACGGAGCAACGCCGCGUGAGUGAUGAAGGCUUUCGGGUCGUAAAACUCUGUUGUUAGGGAAGAACAAGUGCUAGUUGAAUAAGCUGGCACCUUGACGGUACCUAACCAGAAAGCCACGGCUAACUACGUGCCAGCCGCCGCCGUAA
rnacentral:rRNA from 1 species